AUGUCACCAAGUGAAGAAAAGACCUGCGCACACAGGACACAGCACAGCCUGAUGCUCACAGCAAUAUGUUUUCUGUUAUUACAGGAAGUUUCAGGAGUCAAGGAGAACGGUGUAUGUGGGGCAGUCCCUCCCGUGUGGACGAAGAAUCCAGGUGAUGAGGAAUGUGCCGCUGUGUCGCUGGCUUUCCUGCACACAGGCAGCCGGAGUGGAGCUUCCUGUUGUGAUGAGGACCCGGGCUGUGGCGGGAGAAGUGGUUGCUCCAGGGAGGGUGGCCCAGCAGCAGCUCGGUUUGUGCUCUCACCCACCUCCUCCACACAUGCCAGCCCUGUUCCUCAGCACCCAAGGCUGCCAGAGGUCCUUCAGCAGCUCCCAUGGCUGACAGUGACUCUGUUUCCUAGCGACGGUGGCCAGUGAGAUGUUUCCAGAAAUGACCCUAGCUCUUUGCCAGGUGACAGCUUCAGGGACGGACUGCGUGGCAGAGAGCAUUUUCCUCAUGAGAAAUGCUGGCUUUUAAAAAGAAUGUAGAAUUUGCAACCAAAAGAUGUUGGUCUAGAUAGAAGCAGCUGGACCCCACAGUGUGGCAUGUGUUCGUUUGAACAUUCUACGGUGACCUGCCACGGAGGUCGUCUGAAGAUGGAGCCCUUGUCUACGGCCGUAGCACCCUGAGUGCACCCGCUGUCAUCUCAUGGUGAAGGUCCUGCCUCCGUCCCAGCUGCCACUCUGUGAACUGCCGUUUCACACUGUGCAGAGCCAAGAGACCAGUGAUCACGACGGGAGGCGACCUUUGCUGCUGUUCUCAAGGUGUGCUCAUUUCCCUCUUCUCACUGCAGUUUCUUCAGAUCAGCCACUUGUACUUAAAAUGUCUCCCUGAUUUUUUUUUAUUUCCCCAACUCUAGUUUGUCUAUAGAUGUUCAAAUUUUAGAGUUUUACGACUCAAUUUGUGUUCUUGAUUUUUCUAUCAAGAUUUUUGCCUUAAACAUUUUCCUCUAUUUAGGAAAAUGUCCUGUUUCCCAUGCCAAGUUUAUGCAGGCUUUUCGCUAGAAUAGAUCCAGAAGGAACACAGCAACACUGCCUUCACCAGAUCCGGAGAAUCUUGAUACCAAGUGCGGUAUGAGACAGCCCAUGAGAGGGAGAUUACAGGCCCGUCUUCUGAAUAGAGACAUCCAAAGCUGAAACCAAAUAUUAGAGCAGGCUGAAUGCAGAGACUGCUACAAACAAUGAUGAGUUAUUUCAUGAUUUGAAACAAUAUUGCCUCGUUUAAAAGUUUUGGGGAUUGUUUUAAAGAAAAAUUUAAAAGAUAAAUACAACUGAAUGAAUGUAAACAGUUAUAAAACAGAAAAAGUUAUGGGGUGGUAAAAGGCUUAUGAAACAAAUGUUUUAUAACCUCAUAAUUUCUAAUCCCAAUCAAAACUGGGAUAGAUUUGUUUAUGAGGUCUUAUUGCCAGUGCUAAGCUGUAUCAGCACUUUGGAGCGAGGGUGGAUCAAUAAGAUCGAAUAUUG
rnacentral:lncRNA from 1 species